AUUGAACGCUGGCGGCAGGCCUAACACAUGCAAGUCGAGCGGAUGAAGGGAGCUUGCUCCUGGAUUCAGCGGCGGACGGGUGAGUAAUGCCUAGGAAUCUGCCUGGUAGUGGGGGAUAACGUCCGGAAACGGGCGCUAAUACCGCAUACGUCCUGAGGGAGAAAGUGGGGGAUCUUCGGACCUCACGCUAUCAGAUGAGCCUAGGUCGGAUUAGCUAGUUGGUGGGGUAAAGGCCUACCAAGGCGGCGAUCCGUAACUGGUCUGAGAGGAUGAUCAGUCACACUGGAACUGAGACACGGUCCAGACUCCUAAGGGAGGCAGCAGUGGGGAAUAUUGGACAAUGGGCGAAAGCCUGAUCCAGCCAUGCCGCGUGUGUGAAGAAGGUCUUCGGAUUGUAAAGCACUUUAAGUUGGGAGGAAGGGCAGUAAGUUAAUACCUUGCUGUUUUGACGUUACCAACAGAAUAAGCACCGGCUAACUUCGUG
rnacentral:rRNA from 1 species